rnacentral:misc_RNA from 1 species
CUCCUUUCAACCUCGUCGUCGUCCACGCCAAACCCACUGCUGCCUCUGCCGUUGGUCUCGCUGGACCCGGGGCUGCUGAGGUUUUGCCGUUUGUGGAUGCGGAUUUGAAGAGGAUAGCUGCUAGGGUUAUUGAGAAGACUAAGGAAAUCUGCAUGAGUAAAUCGGUGGAUGAUGUGAUAUAUGAAGUGGGAGAGGGUGAUGCCAGGAAUGUUCUCUGUGAGACUGUAGAGAAACACCACGCUUCAAUACUGGUUGUGGGUAGCCAUGGUUAUGGAGCUAUUAAAAGGGCGGUUCUAGGUAGCGUGAGUGACUACUGUUCUCAUCAUGCCCACUGCAGCGUGAUGAUUGUGAAGAAGCC